GUGAACGCUGGCGGUAGGCCUAACGCAUGCAAGUCGCACGGCAGCACAGUAAGAGCUUGCUCUUACGGGUGGCGAGUGGCGGACGGGUGAGGAAUACAUCGGAAUCUACUUUUUCGUGGGGGAUAACGUAGGGAAACUUACGCUAAUACCGCAUACGACCUACGGGUGAAAGCAGGGGAUCUUCGGACCUUGCGCGAUUGAAUGAGCCGAUGUCGGAUUAGCUAGUUGGCGGGGUAAAGGCCCACCAAGGCGACGAUCCGUAGCUGGUCUGAGAGGAUGAUCAGCCACACUGGAACUGAGACACGGUCCAGACUCCUACGGGAGGCAGCAGUGGGGAAUAUUGGACAAUGGGCGCAAGCCUGAUCCAGCCAUACCGCGUGGGUGAAGAAGGCCUUCGGGUUGUAAAGCCCUUUUGUUGGGAAAGAAAAGCAGCAGGUUAAUACCCCGCUGUUCUGACGGUACCCAAAGAAUAAGCACCGGCUAACUUCGUG
rnacentral:rRNA from 1 species